rnacentral:rRNA from 1 species
CCUACGGGUGGCAGCAGUGAGGAAUAUUGGUCAAUGGCCGGAAGGCUGAACCAGCCAUGCCGCGUGAAUGUCAGUGCCCUAUGGGCGUUAAACUUCUUUUGUGCGGGAGCAAUAAUGGUCACGUGUGGCCAGACGAGAGUACCGUACGAAUAAGCAUCGGCUAACUCCGUGCCAGCAGCCGCGGUAAUACGGGGGAUGCAAGCGUUAUCCGGAUUUAUUGGGUUUAAAGGGUGCGUAGGCUGUGAGGUAAGUCAGCGGUGAAAUGCCCCCGCUCAACGGGGUGAAGUGCCAUUGAUACUGGCUGGCUGGAAUGCGGAUGACGUGGGAGGAAUGUGUGGUGUAGCGGUGAAAUGCAUAGAUAUCACACAGAACACCGAUUGCGAAGGCAUCUCACGAAUCCGCGAUUGACGCUGAUGCACGAAAGCGUGGGUAUCAAACAGGAUUAGAUACCCGUGUAGUC